CUGCCCAAUGAGGAAUUAAAUGGCCGCGGUACUUUGACCGUGCAAAGGUAGCAUAAUCAUUAGUUUUUUAAUUGAAAGCUGGUAUGAAAGGUUGGAUGAGAGAAUAGCUGUCUCUAUUUAAAUUUUUUAAAAUUUUAUUUUUAAGUAAAAAAGCUUAAAUAAAAAUAGAAGACGAGAAGACCCUAUAGAGUUUUAUAGAUUUAAAUUUAGAAAGUCUUAGGAAUUAAAAAAUUUUUAAAUUUAAAUAUAUUUAGUUGGGGUGAUUGAAAAAUUAAAAAAACUUUUUUUAUAUUAUAACAUUUAUUUAUGAUUGGUUGAUCCUUUUUUAAAGAUUAAAAGAAAAAAUUACCUUAGGGAUAACAGCGUAAUUUUUUUAAAGAGUUCAAAUCGAAAAAAAAGAUUGCGACCUCGAUGUUGGAUUAAAAUAAAAUUUUGGUGUAGAAGCUAAAAUAUUUGGGUCUGUUCGACCCUU
rnacentral:rRNA from 1 species